rnacentral:lncRNA from 1 species
CUGUACCUCACUUCCAUUCUCAAUAUGUUACUUUCCCUUUUCUGUCCAUAAUCCUGUCCAACCACAGGACAGUGCCCAGCAUGUAUAAACCUAUUCAGGAGGCUGCCAGCUUCACAAAUUAUCCUUGGCUCAGAGACUUCUCUCCUGAGCCUUUCAGCUUCCUGCUCUGUGGACCAGUUACUCUCCAGGCCAAUGGAGAAUCCCCUUUGCCACCAGCCUGGGCAUUCCCUUCACCUCUCUCCUGUGUUGGAGCUGUUCCUUCCUGGCGUUCGUGCGCUCUCUCUCUCCUGGUGUGGUGGAGCAUAUUGUCGAGUAGCUUCUUAAGACACGAUACUUGGAAAUUCCUUUUUUAUAGCAUCCUUGACUCUCUGGGGAUAUUAAUUAUUGCUUUAAGGAUACAGGAGAAGGUGGCAGUCUGCAACCUGGAAGGAGGCCCUCACCAGAACCCAACCAUGCUGGCACCCUGAUCUCAGACUCCCAGGCUUCGGGACUAUGGGAAAUAAAUUUCUGUUGUUUAUAAGACACCCAGUCCAUGGAACUUCAUUAGAGCAGCCCAAACUGACUGAGACAACCUUCCACAGCACCUGGUGUCCUUAGUUUUUUGGUCUGUCUGUGGCUCUUCAGAAUGAAUAAAGUUGCUUCUCACUGGUAUACUAUCCACAAACACUUAGCUUUCAUCUUUUUAAGCUUUCUGUGAUCUGCUAAAUCAAUUCCCAACAUCUCGUAUAGUUUUGUGUGUAUAUAUUGUGGUUUGGGGUUACAUAUGUUUUCCUAGUUUCACCAGUGUUGGAGUGUAUGUCCUGUUCUAGUUCUCCUUAUUGCUUUGGG